ensembl:lncRNA novel transcript
CUUUGGCACGAAAGUAACUCUUCCCUAUAUGCAACAUGAUGUUCAACAAAUUAUUAUUCAUGAAGACUACAUCCAGGAUGAACAUCAUGAUGAUAUCGCACUUAUACUGCUCACUAAAAAAGUUUUAUUUAAGAAUGAUGUACAUCGAGUUUGUCUUCCUGAAGCCACACAGAUUUUUCCACCUGGUGAAGGAGUUGUUGUUACAGGAUGGGGAAGACUUUCAUUUAAUGGGAGACUCUGGAGGACCACUAGUUCAUCCUAAUUCUCUAAAUAUUUGGUAUAUUUGGUACCUUGUUGGAGUAGUGAG